UACGGAGGGGACUAGCGUUGUUCGGAAUUACUGGGCGUAAAGCGCACGUAGGCGGAUUUGUAAGUCAGGGGUGAAAUCCCGGGGCUCAACCUCGGAACUGCCUUUGAUACUGCAAAUCUCGAGUCCGGAAGAGGUGAGUGGAAUUCCUAGUGUAGAGGUGAAAUUCGUAGAUAUUAGGAAGAACACCAGUGGCGAAGGCGGCUCACUGGCCCGGUACUGACGCUGAGGCGCGAAAGCGUGGGGAGCAACAGG
rnacentral:rRNA from 1 species